AGGGCGGUAAUCAGGGGCUGUGGUGACACAUUAAUUAACGCAGGGCGGUAAUUAGGGGCAGUGGCACCGGGCGGUUCGUUAAUUAAACCAGGGCGGUAAUGAGGAGCGGCGGCAGGUCGUUAAUUAAUUGUCGGGCGUUGGUAAUUAGGGGAGGUGCGGCUGCACUUCGAGGCCGGGCGCCCGGAGCUGCGCAAUGAGCGCUAUGGCAGCCGCCCCGUGGUGCUGCACGGCAACGGGCCGACCAAGCUGCAGCUGAACUCGUUAGCUAAUUACAUCCCCAACGGCUGGAGCCCCAGUGGCUGCGGGGACUGCGAGCGCGGAGUGCAGGAUGUGGGGAACGGCACGGCGGUGCGCGCGGUGCUGGCCGUGUUCGUGGAGCAGCCGACGCCGUUCCUGGAUUUGUUCUGGCAGCGCCUCCUGCGCUUGGAGCAGCCGAGCGGGGAGCUGCAGCUCUUCAUCCACAACCGCGAGCCGUACCACGAGCGCCACCUGGCGGCAGUUUGGCCGCAGCUGCAGCGACGCUUUGCGGCUGUCAAAGUCGUGGGGCCGGAGGAAAACAUGGGGCAGGGAGCGGCCAGGGACAUGGGAGCGUGAGUGGG